rnacentral:other from 1 species
AAGUUCCUGCGGUGUGCGUGCUGCUCAUACUGAGCUUAACGGUCCAUUAAACCCACAUCUCUAAUAAGGGAUGCCGAUUUGAAUCUGCGGAUUGCAGGCCUCCCGGCCUCGGCUGGACGUUGGAAGCAAAGAAACAGAACUUAGGCGACCCACCUGCCAUAUUGUGCAGGUUAUAAUUGGACCGGCACGGCACUCGCGGGGCACUC